AUUGAACGCUGGCGGCAGGCCUAACACAUGCAAGUCGAGCGGAUGACGGGAGCUUGCUCCUUGAUUCAGCGGCGGACGGGUGAGUAAUGCCUAGGAAUCUGCCUGGUAGUGGGGGACAACGUUUCGAAAGGAACGCUAAUACCGCAUACGUCCUACGGGAGAAAGCAGGGGACCUUCGGGCCUUGCGCUAUCAGAUGAGCCUAGGUCGGAUUAGCUAGUAGGUGAGGUAAUGGCUCACCUAGGCGACGAUCCGUAACUGGUCUGAGAGGAUGAUCAGUCACACUGGAACGGAGACACGGUCCAGACUCCCACGGGAGGCAGCAGUGGGGAAGAUUGGACAAUGGGCGAAAGCCUGAUCCAGCCAUGCCGCGUGUGUGAAGAAGGUCUUCGGAUUGUAAAGCACUUUAAGUUGGGAGGAAGGGCAGUAAGUUAAUACCUUGCUGUUUUGACGUUACCGACAGAAUAAGCACCGGCUAACUCUGUGCCAGCCGCCGCGGUAACAC
rnacentral:rRNA from 1 species